GGGCGCAAGCCUGAUGCAGCGACGCCGCGUGAGGGAUGGAAGCCUUCGGGUUGUAAACCUCUUUUAUCGGGGAGCAAGCGAGAGUGAGUUUACCCGUUGAAUAAGCACCGGCUAACUACGUGCCAGCAGCCGCGGUAAUACGUAGGGUGCAAGCGUUAUCCGGAAUUAUUGGGCGUAAAGGGCUCGUAGGCGGUUCGUCGCGUCCGGUGUGAAAGUCCAUCGCUUAACGGUGGAUCCGCGCCGGGUACGGGCGGGCUUGAGUGCGGUAGGGGAGACUGGAAUUCCCGGUGUAACGGUGGAAUGUGUAGAUAUCGGGAAGAACACC
rnacentral:rRNA from 1 species